UGAAGCCCAGCUUGCUGGGUGGAUUAGUGGCGAACGGGUGAGUAACACGUGAGUAACCUGCCCUUAACUCUGGGAUAAGCUUGGGAAACUGGGUCUAAUACCGGAUAGGAGCGUCCACCGCAUGGUGGGUGUUGGAAAGAUUUAUCGGUUUUGGAUGGACUCGCGGCCUAUCAGCUUGUUGGUGAGGUAAUGGCUCACCAAGGCGACGACGGGUAGCCGGCCUGAGAGGGUGACCGGCCACACUGGGACUGAGACACGGCCCAGACUCCUACGGGAGGCAGCAGUGGGGAAUAUUGCACAAUGGGCGCAAGCCUGAUGCAGCGACGCCGCGUGAGGGAUGACGGCCUUCGGGUUGUAAACCUCUUUCAGUAGGGAAGAAGCGAAAGUGACGGUACCUGCAGAAGAAGCACCGGCUAACUACGUGCCAGCAGCCGCGGUAAUACGUAGGGUGCGAGCGUUAUCCGGAAUUAUUGGGCGUAAAGAGCUCGUAGGCGGUUUGUCGCGUCUGUCGUGAAAGUCCGGGGCUUAACCCCGGAUCUGCGGUGGGUACGGGCAGACUAGAGUGCAGUAGGGGAGACUGGAAUUCCUGGUGUAGCGGUGGAAUGCGCAGAUAUCAGGAGGAACACCGAUGGCGAAG
rnacentral:rRNA from 1 species